CCUACGGGAGGCAGCAGUGAGGAAUAUUGGUCAAUGGACGAGAGUCUGAACCAGCCAAGUAGCGUGAAGGAUGACUGCCCUAUGGGUUGUAAACUUCUUUUAUAUGGGAAUAAAAUGUUCCACGUGUGGGAUUUUGUAUGUACCAUAUGAAUAAGGAUCGGCUAACUUCGUGCCAGCAGCCGCGGUAAUACGGAGGAUCCGAGCGUUAUCCGGAUUUAUUGGGUUUAAAGGGAGCGUAGGUGGAUUGUUAAGUCAGUUGUGAAAGUUUGCGGCUCAACCGUAAAAUUGCAGUUGAAACUGGCAGGCUUGAGUACAGUAGAGGUGGGCGGAAUUCGUGGUGUAGCGGUGAAAUGCUUAGAGAUCACGAAGAACUCCGAUUGCGAAGGCAGCUCACUGGACUGCAACUGACACUGAGGCUCGAAAGUGUGGGUAUCAAACAGGAUUAGAUACCCCAGUAGUC
rnacentral:rRNA from 1 species